CGUAGGUGGCAAGCGUUGUCCGGAUUUAUUGGGCGUAAAGCGAGCGCAGGCGGAAUGAUAAGUCUGAUGUGAAAGCCCACGGCUCAACCGUGGAACUGCAUCGGAAACUGUCAUUCUUGAGUGCAGAAGAGGAGAGUGGAACUCCAUGUGUAGCGGUGGAAUGCGUAGAUAUAUGGAAGAACACCAGUGGCGAAGGCGGCUCUCUGGUCUGCAACUGACGCUGAGGCUCGAAAGCAUGGGUAGCGAACAGGAUU
rnacentral:rRNA from 1 species